CUUGAGGCAAAGUUGUGCAUUAUGAGGAGAUCUAUCAAAUGAUAUGCAUAUUGUGUUGAUAUGUGAAACACCACGUGAUUACAGAGCCAUAAAACUCGUUAGCGCCAACUAGUGGCCGAUUUCUUUCAAAAUUCUUACAGACCUUAAGGUUCAUGAGUCAAACGUACCCAGCGAGUUUCGUUCCGAUCAACAUCCGUUAACCCUUUCAAAUAGGUGCUUAAAAUUGUUUGGCCAAUGGCGGCCAUGUUUUUUGAGAUAUGCAAAUGUCCUCAUAGGUACUUGUGCCCCUUCAGACCAAGACACUGCAUACCAAUUUUCAAGUCGAUCGAGCCAACGGUUGCCUAGUUAUAGCCAUUUAUGUGUUUUUUAAAUCUUAUUGCGCCCCCAAGUGGUAGAGAUGCGCAAUUUUUUUUUAUUUGACCAAAGAUUGAGCUCAUACAUAUGUGUACCAAGUUUGGUCAAGAUAUCUCAUUCCGUUCAAGAGUUAUAGUCAAAAUAACAUUUGGCUAACGUUAGCAUAGACGCUUUUUGGCGUACUGUUUCGCGUAAGAAUCGAAAUUUCAACUUUUUUUUGAUAAUUAUUUAUAUUGAGUGUCCAGGGAAUAUUUCUGCAGUGGUUUCGUUCCGAUUGGUUGAAAAUCCUAGGACUAGUUCGCAAAAGUAGGUUUCGGAUAUAGCUCGAUUUUGCGAGAAAACGGUGCGUCGUAGAGCAAAAAAUGCAGCUGUGCACUUUUGUUCGGGCUAACCCAAGGAUUGCA